GGGGGCCCGCACAAGCGGUGGAGCAUGUGGUUUAAUUCGAUGCAACGCGAAGAACCUUACCUGGCCUUGACAUACUAAGAACUUUCCAGAGAUGGAUUGGUGCCUUCGGGAACUUAGAUACAGGUGCUGCAUGGCUGUCGUCAGCUCGUGUCGUGAGAUGUUGGGUUAAGUCCCGCAACGAGCGCAACCCUUUUCCUUAUUUGCCAGCGGGUAAUGCCGGGAACUUUAAGGAUACUGCCAGUGACAAACUGGAGGAAGGCGGGGACGACGUCAAGUCAUCAUGGCCCUUACGGCCAGGGCUACACACGUGCUACAAUGGUCGGUACAAAGGGUUGCUACCUCGCGAGAGGAUGCUAAUCUCAAAAAGCCGAUCGUAGUCCGGAUCGCAGUCUGCAACUCGACUGCGUGAAGUCGGAAUCGCUAGUAAUCGCGGAUCAGAAUGCCG
rnacentral:rRNA from 1 species